UCUCCGUUGGUGAACCAGCGGAGGGAUCAUUACAGGACUCGCAAGACUCCUUCACCCUGUGAACCUCACUACAAGCACGUUGCUUCGGCGGGUGUCCCGGCGGGGGUUUUCCCUCGCCGGGGCGCAUAGCCCGCCGGCAGCCUACUAUACUCUGUCUCUUUGCGUUGGCAUCUCGAGAAAAAACAAACAAGUUAAAACUUUCAACAACGGAUCUCUUGGUUCUG
rnacentral:misc_RNA from 1 species